AUUCCAGCUCCAAUGGCGUAUAUUAAAGUUGUUGCAGUUAAAAAGCUCGUAGUUGGAUUUCUGGCAGGAGCGACCGGUCGGCCCAUUGUGGUGUGUACUAGUGUUGCAUCUGGCCAUAUUUGUGGAGAGCGUGUGUGGCAUUAAUUUGUCGUGCUCGGGACCCGCAUCGUUUACUGUGAGAAAAUUAGAGUGUUCAAAGCAGGCUUAUGCCUUGGAUAUGUUAGCAUGGAAUAAUAAGAUAAGACUUUGGCGGUCUAUUUUGUUGGUUUGCACGCCAUUGUAAUGAUUGAUAGGGACAGUUGGGGGUAUUCAUAUUUAAUCGUCAGAGGUGAAAUUCUUGGAUUUAUGAAAGAUGAACUACUGCGAAAGCAUUUACCAAGGAUGUUUUCAUCA
rnacentral:rRNA from 1 species